rnacentral:rRNA from 1 species
GACGAACGCUGGUGGCGUGCUUAACACAUGCAAGUCGAACGGAAAGGCCCUGCUUUUGUGGGGUGCUCGAGUGGCGAACGGGUGAGUAACACGUGAGUAACCUGCCCUUGACUUUGGGAUAACUUCAGGAAACUGGGGCUAAUACCGGAUAGGAGCUCCUGCUGCAUGGUGGGGGUUGGAAAGUUUCGGCGGUUGGGGAUGGACUCGCGGCUUAUCAGCUUGUUGGUGGGGUAGUGGCUUACCAAGGCUUUGACGGGUAGCCGGCCUGGGAGGGUGACCAGCCACAUUGGGACUGAGAUACGGCCCAGAAUCCUACGGGAGGCAGCAGUGGGGAAUAUUACACAAUGGGCGGGAGCCUGAUGCAGCAACGCCGCGUGCGGGAUGACGGCCUUCGGGUUGUAAACCGCUUUCGCCUGUGACGAAGCGUGAGUGACGGUAAUGGGUAAAGAAGCACCGGCUAACUACGUG